rnacentral:miRNA from 1 species
CCACCACACGGAGAUGACUCUGA